rnacentral:rRNA from 1 species
AUUGAACGCUGGCGGCAUGCCCUACACAUGCAAGUCGAACGGUAACAGGUCUUCGGAUGCUGACGAGUGGCGAACGGGUGAGUAAUACAUCGGAACGUGCCUAGCAGUGGGGGAUAACUACUCGAAAGAGUGGCUAAUACCGCAUGAGAUCUACGGAUGAAAGCAGGGGAUCGCAAGACCUUGUGCUACUAGAGCGGCCGAUGGCAGAUUAGGUAGUUGGUGGGAUAAAAGCUUACCAAGCCGACGAUCUGUAGCUGGUCUGAGGGGACGAUCAGCCACACUGGGACUGAGACACGGCCCAGACUCCUACGGGAGGCAGCAGUGGGGAAUUUUGGACAAUGGGCGCAAGCCUGAUCCAGCAAUGCCGCGUGCAGGAUGAAGGCCUUCGGGUUGUAAACUGCUUUUGUACGGAACGAAAAGCCCUGGGUUAAUACCCUGGGGUCAUGACGGUACCGUAAGAAUAAGCACCGGCUAACUACGUGCCAGCCGCCGCAGUAA